UAUUUUCAUGGGUAUCAAUUUUCGUGGAUUGAAGAAAACGUGGAUAUUUAAUUUCAUGGUUUUGCUCAUCUCUGCGGCAAAGCCCAAAUAAAAUUUGUAAUUUGUUGAAGAUUUGAAUUUGUGGUUCACCUAUACCCAGGAAACCCACGAAAAUGGAUAUCCAACGAUUAAUAAUGAAUCCACAGUAUAUAAAUUUUAAUUGUAACAAUUAACACCACUGCUUUUUUAUGAUAUGAACAAAAGUGCUUUUUGUUAACCCCUAUGCACUAUGUGAUAUGUUCUCUUGCUGAGAGUAUCUUUUUUUUUUUAGAGCAAAUCCAUUUACCUAUACUACUCAGCAUUUACAUUUAAAUGAACUAAUACAUCUUUUCUUAAAUAUUUUUUGUCAGGUUCCCAUGCUUGUAGGACAGUGGCAUGAUAUUUUUUUCAAAAAUAAUUGGGAAACCUAAGAAUUUUCAACCCAAUUCACCAUUUUUCUGUUACAAAUUAAGAUUUGACUAUAUCAUGUAUAUCUAGCAUCUCUUUCUUCCAAAACUUUAUUUCA
rnacentral:lncRNA from 1 species